rnacentral:rRNA from 1 species
GAUGAACGCUAGCGACAGGCCUAACACAUGCAAGUCGAGGGGUAACAGAAGUAGCUUGCUACUAGAUGACGACCGGCGCACGGGUGAGUAACGCGUAUGCAACCUGCCUUAUACUGGGGGAUAGCCCAGAGAAAUCUGGAUUAAUACCGCAUAAUAAUUAGAGAUCGCAUGAUUUUUAAUUAAAACUCCGGUGGUAUAAGAUGGGCAUGCGUAACAUUAGCUAGUUGGUAAGGUAACGGCUUACCAAGGCAACGAUGUUUAGGGGGUCUGAGAGGAUAGUCCCCCACACUGGUACUGAGACACGGACCAGACUCCUACGGGAGGCAGCAGUGAGGAAUAUUGGUCAAUGGGCGCAAGCCUGAACCAGCCAUGUCGCGUGUAGGAUGACUGCCUAU